GACGAACGCUGGCGGCGUGCUUAACACAUGCAAGUCGAACGGAAAGGCCCUGCUUGCAGGGUACUCGAGUGGCGAACGGGUGAGUAACACGUGGGUGAUCUGCCCUGCACUUCGGGAUAAGCCUGGGAAACUGGGUCUAAUACCGGAUAGGAGCCAUUUUUAGUGUGAUGGUUGGAAAGUUUUUUCGGUGUAGGAUGAGCUCGCGGCCUAUCAGCUUGUUGGUGGGGUAAUGGCCUACCAAGGCGGCGACGGGUAGCCGGCCUGAGAGGGUGGACGGCCGCAUUGGGACUGAGGCCCGGCCCAGACUCCUACGGGUGGCAGCCGUCGCGAAUAUUGCACAAUAGGCGCCAGCCUGAUGCAGCCACGCCGCGAGGGGGAUGACAGCCUUCGGGUUGUAAACUCCUUUCGCGAGGGACGAAGCUUUUUGUGACGGUACCUAGAUAAGAAGCACCGGCUAACUACGUG
rnacentral:rRNA from 1 species